GUGUUGAAAUGCAUGGUGGGAAAUAAGUGUGAAAUUCACUAGCUGUUCCUGCAACGGUAAAAGUCCGAGCGCCACCCAACAUAGUCCGAUGUCGAAUGAAGGCCAGGAAAAGUCUAAUUCUACAAUUUAAAU
rnacentral:ncRNA from 10 species